AAUGAUGAUUUUAUCAACAUAAAUUAAAGUAAAGGUAAUAUUGUCAAUUGUAGUUGCUAUUUAACAAAAGUGAAGUGGUCCAAAUAAAUAAAACUACUCUAAGUGGUGAUUAUUGCAAUAGAAAAAAAAACACAAAAAGUAGGUAAAUAAAAUGGUUUUGAAAAAUCUCAUUUUACAACAACACUAAAUCAACAAUAUUAAGAAAAAAGAUGCCAAAAUAAUAUACAAAAAAAACCCCUGCAACACAUUAAAAAUGGGGCAAUUUAAUAUGUAAUUAAUGAUGAUUUUAUCAACAAAAAUCUCAUUUUACAACAACAUCAAAUCAAAAAAUGGGGCAUUCCGAGAAUUGAACUCGGGACCUCUCGCACCCUAAGCGAGAAUCAUACCACUAGACCAAAUGCCCAUUGUUAAUACUUAACUUCCUUAUAUUAAAUAGAUUUUAUGAUUACCAGAAUUGGGCUUUCUAUUCAAUUCCUGUAGUAAACAAAUUCAAACACUGCAACCCAAAACAAACAUCAAAGAAUCAAUCUUUCACAAAUCCCCAAUUCCAAAUUUCCAAUUUCUAGGGUUUUAUUUUCUUCUUCUCUGAUUUUGAAAGAUAGGAGAGAGAAAAUCACAUAUACAAAAAUGGCAGGAGCAUCAGCAAGUGGAAUGUUCAAGUUUUUGAAGCCAUCGAUGAGACCUCAACCUUCCGAUAUUAAAGCCGCCGUUGGUUGGGGUGUGGCCGCCGCCACCGCCGGCAUCUAUCUUGUUCAGCCCUUUGGUUGGAUCAAGAGGACUUUCAUCGACAAGCCAGAAGAGCAGAACUAAAAGAUGUUUUAGCUUGCAAAAUCCAUCUGAUGGUCAGAAGAAUUCUGUACUUAGCCUUGCUUCUAAUAAUACCUUUUGAUUUUGCAAUUUGCUAUCAUUGAGAUUAUGAGGCUUUUUUUGUCAUGAGUUUCUGCAUUAGACUUUGCAACCAAUUUUAGAUGAUUACUGUUGUUUGAUGUCGUCUUGUUUUCUUUUGUACUUGCAAUAAGCACUUCUGAUUUGAUUGGA